rnacentral:rRNA from 1 species
AUUGAACGCUGGCGGCAGGCCUAACACAUGCAAGUCGAGCGGAUGAAGGGAGCUUGCUCCUGGAUUCAGCGGCGGACGGGUGAGUAAUGCCUAGGAAUCUGCCUGGUAGUGGGGGAUAACGUCCAGAAACGGGCGCUAAUACCGCAUACGUCCUGAGGGAGAAAGUGGGGGAUCUUCGGACCUCACGCUAUCAGAUGAGCCUAGGUCGGAUUAGCUAGUUGGUGGGGUAAAGGCCUACCAAGGCGACGAUCCGUAACUGGUCUGAGAGGAUGAUCAGUCACACUGGAACUGAGACACGGUCCAGACUCCUACGGGAGGCAGCAGUGGGGAAUAUUGGACAAUGGGCGAAAGCCUGAUCCAGCCAUGCUGCGUGUGUGAAGAAGGUCUUCGGAUUGUAAAGCACUUUAAGUUGGGAGGAAGGGCAGUAAGUUAAUACCUUGCUGUUUUGACGUUACCAACAGAAUAAGCACCGGCUAACUUCGUG